rnacentral:rRNA from 1 species
UACAGAGGGGGCAAGCGUUAUUCGGAAUUAUUGGGCGUAAAGGGCGCGUAGGCGGCCUGGCAAGUGGAAGGUGAAAUCCCUCGGCUUAACCGAGGAACUGCCCUCCAAACUGCUUGGCUUGAGUCCGGGAGAGGUGAGUGGAAUUCCCAGUGUAGCGGUGAAAUGCGUAGAUACUGGGAGGAACACCGGUGGCGAAGGCGGCUACCUGGACCGGUUCUGACGCUGAUGCGCGAAAGCGUGGGUAGCAAACAGG